GUAGGUGAACCUGCGGAAGGAUCAUUCAUAAUAAGUGUUUUAUGGCACUUUUUAAAUCCAUAUCCACCUUGUGUGCAAUGUCAGUCGAUCUUCUUCAUGGAGAUCGACCAAACAUCAACUUAUUUUUUAACUGUCAGUCUGAAAACUAUUAUGAAUAAACAAUUCAAAUACAACUUUCAACAACGGAUCUCUUGGCUCUC
rnacentral:misc_RNA from 1 species